UGGGGAAUUUUGGACAAUGGGGGAAACCCUGAUCCAGCCAUCCCGCGUGUGCGAUGAAGGCCUUCGGGUUGUAAAGCACUUUUGGCAGGAAAGAAACGUCGCGGGUUAAUACCCCGCGGAACUGACGGUACCUGCAGAAUAAGCACCGGCUAACUACGUGCCAGCAGCCGCGGUAAUACGUAGGGUGCAAGCGUUAAUCGGAAUUACUGGGCGUAAAGCGUGCGCAGGCGGUUCGGAAAGAAAGAUGUGAAAUCCCAGAGCUUAACUUUGGAACUGCAUUUUUAACUACCGGGCUAGAGUGUGUCAGAGGGAGGUGGAAUUCCGCGUGUAGCAGUGAAAUGCGUAGAUAUGCGGAGGAACACCGAUGGCGAAGGCAGCCUCCUGGGAUAACACUGACGCUCAUGCACGAAAGCGUGGGGAGCAAACAGGAUUAGAUACCCUGGUAGUCCACGCCCUAAACGAUGUCAACUAGCUGUUGGGGUCUUCGGACCUUGGUAGCGCAGCUAACGCGUGAAGUUGACCGCCUGGGGAGUACGGUCGCAAGAUUAAAACUCAAAUGAAUUGACGGGGUCGAUAC
rnacentral:rRNA from 1 species